GGUGAGUAACACGUGGGAACGUACCCUUUGGUUCGGGACAACUCUGGGAAACUGGAGCUAAUACCGGAUACGCCCUUUUGGGGAAAGGUUUACUGCCGAAGGAUCGGCCCGCGUCUGAUUAGCUAGUUGGUGGGGUAACGGCCUACCAAGGCGACGAUCAGUAGCUGGUCUGAGAGGAUGAUCAGCCACACUGGGACUGAGACACGGCCCAGACUCCUACGGGAGGCAGCAGUGGGGAAUAUUGGACAAUGGGCGCAAGCCUGAUCCAGCCAUGCCGCGUGAGUGAUGAAGGCCUUAGGGUUGUAAAGCUCUUUUAUCCGGGACGAUAAUGACGGUACCGGAGGAAUAAGCCCCGGCUAACUUCGUGCCAGCAGCCGCGGUAAUACGAAGGGGGCUAGCGUUGCUCGGAAUCACUGGGCGUAAAGGGCGCGUAGGCGGCGUUUUAAGUCGGGGGUGAAAGCCUGUGGCUCAACCACAGAAUGGCCUUCGAUACUGGGACGCUUGAGUCUGGUAGAGGUUGGUGGAACUGCGAGUGUAGAGG
rnacentral:rRNA from 1 species